rnacentral:rRNA from 1 species
UACGUAGGGGGCAAGCGUUGUCCGGAUUUAUUGGGCGUAAAGAGCGUGUAGGCGGCCAGGUAGGUCGGUUGUGAAAACUGAAGGCUCAACCUUCAGAGGUCGACCGAAACCAUCUGGCUAGAGUCCGGGAGAGGAGAGUGGAAUUCCUGGUGUAGCGGUGAAAUGCGCAGAUAUCAGGAAGAACACCCGUGGCGAAAGCGGCUCUCUGGAACGGUACUGACGCUGAGACGCGAAAGCGUGGGGAGCGAACAGG